rnacentral:lncRNA from 1 species
CCAUAAGCUUCAAAUUCUGAUUUCGUUUAUGUUUAUAAUUAACACUUAAUGAAAGAAAUUAAAAAUUAACACAAUUCACCCACCAAUCAUCAGAUUCAACCGAACUAAAAUAAGAAAGCUAAAUGCAAAGUUAUUUUGCAAAACUAAAAUUUGUCAACCAUUUUUCCAACCAAAUAAACACCACCAUAAAAAUUUAUUGAAAUUAACAACAAUGUGAUGUAAUUUCCAAUAAUUGUACGAAUUAGUUCAACCAGUCUUAGGAGUAGGAGCCACUGAAGGUUCUGCCACUGGUGGUGGUCUGUUUUCAUUUUCUUCUUCCUGAUCUUUUUCUACCAACUCUGCCACUUUUGCAUUUUCUUCUGCUUCCCCUAUUAUUACUUCAGGUACUUUGCCUUGUAUAUUUUCUGUUUUUUCUGCCACUGGUAGCCCUUGUCCUUGGCCAUUUCCUGGUUCUAACAAAGUUGAAGCCAUAUAAAAACAUGAAUUAGCUAUAAAAUAUAUCGCUAGUCUGUCGCUAAAUCACUCAUAGCUAACGUUAUUUUUUAUGUAGUACCAAAAUCAAUUUGCAAUAAUUUUCAUAAUAAUUUUUUGCGCACUAAAAAAGUAUUUUGUUUACGCCAUCAAGUAAAGUUGACCUAUAAGUAAAGAUCAUAUAAGAUUAUAUUUAAUUACAAUAAAUAAUUUGAGACAGAGGGAGUAUGAAAGUAAAACAAAUAACAAAUUUAUAUAAUUAAUGAAAAUUAUGAAAGAGAAUGAAAAAGUUCUUGACAAGAUAUAAUAUAGUUCUCAAUCAUACCUUUAGCAGGUUUUCCACAUGAAAUGAGGGAUUCAAAUAGACCUUGAAUCUUGUUCUUCAUACUUGCAUUGGAAUUAGCCAUCUUUCUUUUCUAGACAAUAAAUAUAUACUAAUUGUUCCUCAAGGCUCAAACUUCAAAGAAUGCUUUAUAGGAGAUCGAUUAAUUAAAGGUUCUCUAAUUACUUCUUAGUUCUUACUAUAAUAG